UAAAGUAUAAAUAUGGGUAGAUAUUAUAUAUCUCUAGGAAAACGAUAGAAAACAAUAUGGCACCUGAUUUUCCUUCCUAGUCACACGAGUUCAACUAGUCACCUCCUUUGGCCUCAGACAUUAAUAGGGGGGUUUUAAAGAGAUGCGGUCUAUUAAAAGAAUUUAAGAUAAGCUCCAUGUAUAAUUUUUGUGGUAUUCGAUUUUUUCGCAUUUAUUUUUAAUAAUUUUUUUUUAUUUUUAAUUUUGAGAUUGAUUAAAGUAAAUGGAAAACGAUGUCAGUAUUGAUAUAAAAAGACAAGAUCACCCUUUAUAAUUGAAGGGAUUUUUAAAGAACCUUAAAAACCCAAAAUUUGCUUUAAAUGAAGAGAAAAAAGAAAAAAUUUCAAACCAAAUAUUUUCCUAAUUUUAGAGAGAUAAUCAAUCGGAUAUUCAACAAAAAAAAUUCUAGAAAUCAAUUGGACUUUAUUGGAAAGAAGACAAUUGAAGGAGAUUUUUCGCGGAUCACGUGCUCGAAUUAUAAAGUGAAUAACCUAAACAUGAAGAUCAAACGGCAACAAUGGAUGAACUUAAUACGACAAUAUGGCCUGGUUUUUCAAAGUUGCCUGGAGUUUAGUUCAAUUUGGUCAAGCACCAGCUUCCAACUUUGGGUGAUUCUGGUAUAAUUCUAUUGCACAAAAAAUUUUCAGUCACGUCAUUCUAAGGUAUUAAGGAGCAUUUUACAAUCAUAAUGACAUAAUUUUCUUUUAUUACGAUUGAUUCAGCGAUGGUUUGGAAUUAUUUUGAUCAUUCAAGCUGAUAUGAUAAGUCGAUCUUAUCUCUCAGACUCUAUAUUUAAUUCGGCUAGCAUCACAUCUCACCUCAUUGUAUGCAACAUGCUGACUUGGUCCUCUCUUGUUAGGAGUUUUCUAUCACGUCAUGUCGGGUCAACCCCAUCAGCACAAAACCUGAUUCUAAGAGCUUGGGCCAUCAGGAUUUGAAAACCUUUUACUUCAGUUAUAAGUACCUUCUCUCCCCCAAGUAUGGGUAAUCCAUUCUCAAUAUUCACUCCAGAUUUUUUUCCUCUCUUUCGUGUAAUAACUUAGGCAUCGAAAUAUAAAUACUAGAAACAACUCCGGUUUUUACUUUUUAAUCAAUCUUUGAUUUUUUUUUUUUAAUUUUAGAUUUUUACUUGUUGAGGCUUCAUUUGGAUUCAACCGAAGCUCUAGUGAAACCUAAUUAAAGCAUCCCACUGGACUGAUGAAGUGUUUAGAAAGCAAAACCCAGUGCGUUUCAUAUUUUUUAAUUGCACUGGAAGCUUAAAAACUAACUAGACCUUCAGGGUUCAGUUAAAAUAUUUCACUUUCACCGCAGCUUUUUUUCCUUUAUUACCCAGGCUUCCUUUUUUUUUUUUUUUUUUUUUUCUUUUUUUAACACUUAAAACUAUA